UGGGGAAUUUUGGACAAUGGGCGAAAGCCUGAUCCAGCCAUGCCGCGUGAGUGAAGAAGGCCUUCGGGUUGUAAAGCUCUUUCGGACAGAAAGAAAACGUACGGGCUAAUACCCUGUAUGGAUGACGGUACUGUAAGAAGAAGCACCGGCUAACUACGUGCCAGCAGCCGCGGUAAUACGUAGGGUGCGAGCGUUAAUCGGAAUUACUGGGCGUAAAGCGUGCGCAGGCGGUUUCGUAAGACAGAUGUGAAAUCCCCGGGCUUAACCUGGGAACUGCAUUUGUGACUGCGAGGCUAGAGUGCGGCAGAGGGGGGUAGAAUUCCACGUGUAGCAGUGAAAUGCGUAGAGAUGUGGAGGAAUACCGAUGGCGAAGGCAGCCCCCUGGGUCGACACUGACGCU
rnacentral:rRNA from 1 species